rnacentral:rRNA from 1 species
UACGGAGGGUGCAAGCGUUGCUCGGAAUUACUGGGCGUAAAGGGCGCGUAGGCGGAUGUUUAAGUCGGGGGUGAAAGCCCGGGGCUCAACCCCGGAAUUGCCUUCGAUACUGGACAUCUUGAGUACGGGAGAGGUGAGUGGAACUCCGAGUGUAGAGGUGAAAUUCGUAGAUAUUCGGAAGAACACCAGUGGCGAAGGCGACUCACUGGCCCGUUACUGACGCUGAGGCGCGAAAGCGUGGGGAGCAAACAGG